UUCACAAAUCUUUAAAGAAAGUGAAGCAGCUGAAAUAAAUUCUGAGAAGAAUUUGCCAAAUGAGGAAGCUAAAGCAGUUUUAUAUAGUAUUUGCAACAUGGAAAAAACUCCAACAUUUUGGAGAUUCCAACUUAAUGUAACUCACAAAUGCUGAUUAUGAACAAGAAAGGAAAAUUUGGAACCUGGCCAAAAGCAAUGGUUUCAAUACCUGAGGAAAAUCACAGAUACCAUGAUUUGCCCAUUUUAAGUGAAGUGAAAAGCAGAGUCCCUCCUAUCAAGUGUGCCUAACCUAGUAUUGUUCACAUCUGGGAGUGAUAGAUGUGCUGUUUAUAACAAGAUCAAAACUAUCAAGAAGUAAAGCAGGAUGUUGUUAAAAUAAACCACCACAACACACUGAAAACCUCUGAAACUGUAAAAUGCUGGAAAAGGAGCUGGCUGCUGCUGAAUGUCUAGAGGCUAGCGAGGUAGAAAUAGGAAUAUAUUUAGUUCUCAGUGGAAGCGGAGUCCCUGGGCUGAACGGUGUUUGUACAUCUUGUGCUUCUCACAUUUCAUCAUUUCUGGCUGACAUCAGGAGGUUUGACCAAAGCAUGUCUGACAUAUUGGUGAGGAGAUUUUGUCACAUUGGCAAAGAGGAAUUCUGAGUGUGGAGAGCAAAGAGCAACAAAAGAGAGAAACAUGGAACAUAAAUUUUUGUUAGUGUGAUGGCAAGAGAAGGUUGAUUUGGAGUAUUUUAUUGCUUAUUAGCCAUGGGCAAAGAAGCAGCAUGUUUUAGAUGCUCCGAGAAUGUGGGGCAUACUGCUCUAACCAGACAUAUUUAAUUUUCUGCAAAAGAAAUUAAGGAAGAGAGUUCUCUGGAAGGGACAAAGACAAUAGAGAGCAGAUCACAAGAAGUGUUUCUGUGGUGUGGAUUUUGAAAAUGAGCAUGUGCAAUUUGCCUCUAAACUGUUACACGUUCGUCCUCUCUUGGUUGUACAGAUGUGUUAAGCAUUUAAAACUGGAAGAUCAGUCCAUUUUUACUUUUCCUCAUUGACAAAACUGACCCAUUUCAUGAUGGGUUUUACAAGGUAGGAAUGUCCCAGAGCCCUUCACAGCCAGACACUGCAGUACAGGGUGCUUUGACACACGUCAUAAUUUCAGAUAGGAGUCUUGAAAUGCGGGAAAAUUGCCAUUUGUAAAAGAGUUUGCUUCUUGUAGAGAUGUAUUAACAGAAACUGGAAAGAUAGGUUUCAUUAAAAAAAUACAAGACUUGUCAUAUUGUGAGACAUUUUUGUUGUUGAAGGUGGUAAUUUAGCAAAACAGAAACCUUUCAUGAGAAAGUGCUUGUUUCAGUCAACUUGUCAGGAAAUGCUUUGGAAAACAGUGAUUUUUAUAAUAUCAGGUGCUUGCCUUGUGCAGUGAAGAUUUUGAUUCUGUUAUCUGAAACAGAAUGUAAGUGCGUGAUACUUGGAAAUUUAAUGAGAGGUGAAACUGUAAUCUUCACAAAACCCCUUAACAUUAAACAGGAUUAUUUUGAUGUCAGGAGAACAUUCUGUGUAAUUCAAACUGAAAAUACACUUAUUUUAUCAGUGCUGAAAACUUUCUCUGAACUAUUGGUCAUGAGAGGAAAAAGCAAUCUCCUGCUCAGUGCCAGCAUAACAUCUACUUCAGAAUUUGUGGUGGUGGAGCAACUUGUCUGAUACAGAGAAUGAAGAAUUUCAGUGUUCCUGAGCGAGAGAUCUCUCUGCUGCCUAAUGGCCCAGAGAAUUUUGGUAAUGAUUUCAGAAGAAUAAACUAAUUUUUCUCUAUUUUAUGGCAUUACAGAGCAACUGGGAAUCAUCAAAAUACAAAAAGGUCACUGGGCUUCCACUGCAUAUCACUCUGUAAGAUGUUUUUUUCCUGACUUUUUUUACCCCCACGUUUUGUUUUCUGUCAAGUAAGAUAAUUCUUUAAAGAGACCAAGGUUAUUUAUUCAAACUCAGCCUCAGCACAGCUUCCAGAAUAAAACUUAGACCCUCAUGUAUUUUACUUACAAUUUAUUUUACAUCAUGAGGAGAUGAUUACCUUUGAUACAGAGCUUUUAAAAAAUACCCCACAAUUUUGUUCUAUAAUAAUUUACAACACCUUUAAUUUGAAUUACAGAUGAGAUAAUCGUGGAAAAGUAGCUGAGGAACACAAAGCUUAUAAAUUUUUAAACAACCUCAAUUUUCAAAGUUGUAGACAGUUUAUUUUAUAUUAAUAUGAGCUCUGUGUAAAUCUAUAUGGACAGCAAUCCUGCUCAUGUCUUUGUAAA